rnacentral:rRNA from 1 species
GAUGGCGUGCCUUUUGUAGAAUGAACCGGCGAGUUACGAUUUGAUGCAAGGUUAAGCAGUAAAUGUGGAGCCGUAGCGAAAGCGAGUCUGAAUAGGGCGUUUAGUAUUUGGUCGUAGACCCGAAACCAGGUGAUCUACCCUUGGUCAGGUUGAAGUUCAGGUAACACUGAAUGGAGGACCGAACCGACUUACGUUGAAAAGUGAGCGGAUGAACUGAGGGUAGCGGAGAAAUUCCAAUCGAACCUGGAGAUAGCU